rnacentral:lncRNA from 1 species
AAUCUCUGAGCUUGCGGUUAUAUCAGUAGAAACUUCCAAAAGUGAAAAAGACUAACAAAUUUGAAACAGAGUAUCGAAGAACUUUGGGACAAUUACAGAAGGUGUAGCAUAUCUAUAAUGGACAUACCAGAAGGAGGAAAGAGAAAGAACAGAAGAAACAUUUGAAGCAAUAAUGGCUGAAAAUUUCCUCAAAUGAAUGUCAGAUACCAAACCACACAUCUAGAAAGCUCAGAGAACGCCAAAGAUAAAUGCAAAAAUCAAACAAGCAAAGAAAAAAGUUUUCUCCCAUUCUGUAGGUUGCCUGUUCACUCUGAUGGUGGUUUCUUUUGCUGUGCAGAAGCUCUUUAGUUUAAUUAGAUCCCAUUUGUCAAUUUUGGCUUUUGUUGCCAUUGCUUUUGGUGUUUUAGACAUGAAGUCCUUGCCCAUGCCUAUGUCCUGAAUGGUAUUGCCUAGGUUUUCUUCUAGGGUUUUUAUGGUUUUAGGUCUAACAUGUUAAGCCUUUAAUCCAUCUUGAAUUAAUUUUUGUAUAAGGUGUAAGGAAGGGAUCCAGUUUCAGCUUUCUACAUAUGGCUAGCCAGUUUUCCCAGCACCAUUUAUUAAAUAGGGAAUCCUUUCCCCAUUUGUUGUUUUUGUCAGGUUUGUCAAAGAUCAGAUAGUUGUAGAUAUGCAGCAUUAUUUCUGAGGGCUCUGUUCUGUUCCAUUGAUGUAUAUCACUGUUUUGGUACCAGUACCAUGCUGUUUUGGUUACUGUAACCUUGUAGUAUAGUUUGAAGUCAGGUAGCGUGAUGCCUCCAGCUUUGUUCUUUUGGCUUAGGAUUGACUUGGCGAUGCAGGCUCUUUUUUGGUUCCAUAUGAACUUUAAAGUAGUUUUUUCCAAUUCUAUGAAGAAAGUCAUUGGUAGCUUGAUGGGGAUGGCAUUGAAUCUAUAAAUUACCUUGGGCAGUAUGGCCAUUUUCACAGUAUUGAUUCUUCCUACCCAUGAGCAUGGACUGUUCUUCCAUUUGUUUGUCACAUCAGCCAAAAAACACAUGAAAAAAUGCUCAUCAUCACUGGCCAUCAGAGAAAUACAAAUCAAAACCACAAUGAGAUACCAUCUCACACCAAUUAGAAUGGUGAUCAUUAAAAAGUCAGGAAACAACAGGUGCUGGAGAGGAUGUGGAGAAAUAGGAACACUUUUACACUGUUGGUGGGACUAUAAACUAGUUCAACCAUUGUGGGAGUCGGUGUGGCGAUUCCUCAGGGAUCUAGAGCUAGAAAUACCAUUUGACCCAGCCAUCCCAUUACUGGGUAUAUACCCAAAGGAUUAUAAAUCAUGCUGCUAUAAAGACACAUGCACACGUAUGUUUAUUGUGGCACUAUUCACAAUAGCAAAGACUUGGAACCAACCCAAAUGUCCAACAGUGAUAGACUGGAGUAAGAAAAUGUGGCACAUAUAAUUAUUAAUAUUGAAAUACACAUACCCUUUGGCAUAGCAAUCCAACUUCUGGCAAUCUAGUAAAUAAAAAUAAUGUCAAUUUUAAAAGGUAUACAUUCAAAGUUAUUAUGUAUUAUAGACUCAUUGACAUGGGAUCAACUAAAUACAUGA